AUUGAACGCUGGCGGCAGGCCUAACACAUGCAAGUCGAGCGGAUGAAGGGAGCUUGCUCCUGGAUUCAGCGGCGAACGGGUGAGUAAUGCCUAGGAAUCUGCCUGGUAGUGGGGGAUAACGUCCGGAAACGGGCGCUAAUACCGCAUACGUCCUGAGGGAGAAAGUGGGGGAUCUUCGGACCUCACGCUAUCAGAUGAGCCUAGGUCGGAUUAGCUAGUUGGUGGGGUAAAGGCCUACCAAGGCGACGAUCCGUAACUGGUCUGAGAGGAUGAUCAGUCACACUGGAACUGAGACACGGUCCAGACUCCUAAGGGAGGCAGCAGUGGGGAAUAUUGGACAAUGGGCGAAAGCCUGAUCCAGCCAUGCCGCGUGUGUGAAGAAGGUCUUCGGAUUGUAAAGCACUUUAAGUUGGGAGGAAGGGCAGUAAGUUAAUAACUUGCUGUUUUGACGUUACCAACAGAAUAAGCACCGGCUAACUUCGUG
rnacentral:rRNA from 1 species